UCCAGUGGUCGUGUUGUAUUUGCAGGCUGUUGGAACCAAAGAAUGGAGGGAGUUUGGCAGGACAGAGGUAAUCGAUAAUACUCGGAAUCCAGAUUUCGUCAGGAAGUUCGUCCUGGAUUUCUUUUUUGAAGAGAAACAAAAUCUAAGGUUUGAUGUGUACAAUGUGGACUCCAGAAGCUGUAACAUUUCCAAACAC